AUUGAACGCUGGCGGCAUGCUUUACACAUGCAAGUCGAACGGUAACAGGUCUUCGGAUGCUGACUAGUGGCGCACGGGUGAGUAAUACAUCUGAACGUGCCUAGUAGUGGGGGAUAACUACUCGAAAGAGUAGCUAAUACCGCAUGAGAUCUACGGAUGAAAGCAUGGGACCUUCUGGCCUUGUGCUACUAGAGCGGCUGAUGGCAGAUUAGGUAGUUGGUGGGGUAAAGGCUUACCAAGCCUGCGAUCUGUAGCUGGUCUGAGAGGACGACCAGCCACACUGGGACUGAGACACGGCCCAGACUCCUACGGGAGGCAGCAGUGGGGAAUUUUGGACAAUGGGCGAAAGCCUGAUCCAGCAAUGCCGCGUGCAGGAUGAAGGCCCUCGGGUUGUAAACUGCUUUUGUACGGAACGAAAAGCCUGGGGCUAAUAUCCCCGGGUCAUGACGGUACCGUAAGAAUAAGCACCGGCUAACUACGUG
rnacentral:rRNA from 1 species